CUUCCAUUGGCGAAGAUAAUAAAUUAGUUGAAGACGAAAGAACGCCUUGAGAUGUAGAAAACAUUGCAGAUACAGACGAAGUGGAAGGUAUUUCCUUUGUAAAAGAACUUAAAUGAUCCGCAGAUAAUUCACGACUUGACGGCGUUAUGGUGGUAUUCCCAAUUGUUUUAGUAACAACCAUACUUGUAUAAAAUAGAGUGAGCGUACUUGGAAAUAACGUUGAAGAAGAAAAUGAAGAACUUCUUGGAGGGAAAGAGGAUAUUAAUGUGGAUGAAUGAAUAGUUAGAGUAACAUUGCCUUCCAUUGGCGAAGACAAUAAAUGAGUUGAAGAUGAAUGAACGCCUUGAUAUGUGGAAAACAUUGCAGAUGGAAGAGAAAAAUGUGAUGUAGUAUUAGACAACUCAGCUGUAGAUGAAUUAACAGAAGAUGUAGCUGGUACAGAAUUGCUGCGUCUUGAAGAGGAAGUUAAGCUAUCAGUUGACGACGAA